rnacentral:lncRNA from 13 species
UCUUGCUGUUGCUGCUCCAUGAUUUCCCCAGAUGUCCUGACCAUCUUGCCCAACCUAUUUUUCUGUGUAACCUUGAUAUUCCCAAACCAGCAGGUCAAGCAGUAGGACAGAAUGCUCUCAAUGAAUUAUUUAUACAAGAGAACCAUGAUGGUUAGAUUAACAUUAAAACGAAGUGCAGUUUCCAUAGGAAAUACAGUCUCCGUUGGCCUUUCUUAAAAAUAGCGUCAGUACAAGGACAGCUGCUUGUCGAUAACUAGCCCAAGGUAUUUGUACUCCUCCACUAUGUCAAUGGGGCUCACCUUUUGUAAGUGAUGGUGUGUGCACGGUAAUGUUCCUUCCAAAGUCAAACACCACGUCCUUUGUUUUUGAUGUAUUUAAUAUUAGAUGGGAUGACUCACACCAGUAAAAUCAUUCAGAGCCGGGCCGUGCUCCAUCUCAUCCCCUUCGAGAAGACUGACCAAAGCAGUAUGGUCAGCAUAUUUGAUCAGGUGGAGCACGGACCAGCUCUGAAUGAUUUUACUGUCUGGUGUGAGUCAUCCCAUCUAAUAUUAAAUAUAUUCCCUGGGAACCGGCUCCGGCAGCUAUCUGUAUACAGUAAGUAUAGUAUUGGUGAAAGAACACUGCCCUGUGGGGUUCCAACUGAAGCAGUGCCCACCUCAGAGAGUGUGUUGCCAACUCCUAACUACUGAGGCCUAUCAGUUAGGAAGUUGGUGAUCCGUGUCUCCUCAGUCUGUCCACAAGGACCAAUGGAUUGAUUGUGUUAGAUGCCGAGGAGAAAUCUGCAAACAUGAUACACACGUGGGUUUUACUGCCCUACAAAUGCAUGUACACCAGAUGUAAGAGCGAAAGGAUGGCAUCAUCUGUCUCUCUCUCUGACCGGUAUGCAGAUUGGGGGGGGGGUCAACAAGGUGACUGGUGGUGUUGAUGAUGUAUGCAGAUUGGAGGGGGUCAACAAGGUGAUUGGUAGUGUUGAUGAUGUAUGCAGAUUGGAGGGGGUCAACAAGGUGACUGGUGUUGAGGAUGUAUGCAAAUUGGAGGGGGUCAACAAGGUGACUGGUGUUGAUGAUGUAUGCAGAUUGGAGGGGGUCAACAAGGUGAUUGGUAGUGUUGAUGUAUGCAGAUUGGAGGGGGUCAACAAGGUGACUGGUGUUGAUGAUGUAUGCAGAUUGGAGGGGGUCAACAAGGUGACUGGUAGUGUUGAUGUAUGCAGAUUGGAGGGGGUCAACAAGGUGACUGGUGGUGUUGAUGUAUGCCUUGAUCUUUUCAAGAGAUUUAAUUGA